UGAGGAAUAUUGCGCAAUGGGCGAAAGCCUGACGCAGCGACGCCGCGUGGAGGAUGAAGGUCUUCGGAUUGUAAACUUCUGUUAAGUGGAAAGAAAGACUCGUCUCUAAUACAGGCGAGUUAUGACGGUACCAUUAGAGAAAGCACCGGCUAACUUCGUGCCAGCAGCCGCGGUAAUACGAAGGGUGCAAGCGUUAUUCGGAAUUAUUGGGCGUAAAGGGCGCGUAGACGGUAUGUUAAGUCUGUUGUUAAAUUUUCCGGCCUAACCGGAAAUCUGCAAUGGAAACUGGCGUACUAGAGGUUGGAAGAGAGAAGUGGAAUUCUCGGAGUAGCGGUAAAAUGCGUAGAUCUCGAGAGGAACACCAAUGGCGAAGGCAGCUUCUUGGUCCAUACCUGACGUUGAGGCGCGAAAGCGUGGGGAGCAAACA
rnacentral:rRNA from 1 species